CUGCAACCUAAAAGGACGCCAAGCGAGUGUGUGUGUGUGUGUAGAAAUUUGCUAAGGAGGAAGAUUUGUUUUUAUGUGAACAGACGCUUCCUCUUCAAGACAGUUCUGCUCGGGUACAGCUUUUCAGCACCGUUUCUGAAUAUAUGUUUAAUUCAGUUCUUGAAAGCCGGCCUCCCUGUUUUAUUCUCCUCAUCCCUUUGGACCGUGUGGCGGUCAGAUCUUUCACCGCCGAGGGCCCGAUUUAGAGUUCAGCGAGAGGAAACUGUGCUGUUGCAUAACUCAAACUACCACCUUUGUGCCAGAGGAGCUUUUGAAGAAGUAGGGUGUAAUUUGUUUGGUAGUGUAGCAGCUGGAAUCUUCUUAAAAACACCCAAAGCGUAUUAAUAAAACAUCACAGAUUUCCCGCUGAAAAAAAAGUUUGAUUGUGAAAUAAAAGUUUAUUUUCUUUGCUUAUAUGAAUAGCUGGCAGAUAUGUUGCCUUACAUGCUUGAGAAAGUCCAUCAAGACGCUUUCAUAACAUGAGAGGAACUGAAAUGAAGCCACCAGGCAACACUAAAAGCGCUUUUAUUUUUUAUU